rnacentral:rRNA from 1 species
UACGUAGGGCGCAAGCGUUGUCCGGAAUUAUUGGGCGUAAAGAGCUCGUAGGUGGCUGGUCGCGUCUGCCGUGAAAACUUGGGGCCUAACUCCAAGCUUGCGGUCGAUACGGGCAGACUUGAGUUCGGCAGGGGAGACUGGAAUUCCUGGUGUAGCGGUGAAAUGCGCAGAUAUCAGGAGGAACACCGGUGGCGAAGGCGGGUCUCUGGGCCGACACUGACGCUGAGGAGCGAAAGCGUGGGGAGCGAACAGG